rnacentral:ncRNA from 2 species
UAGAACAAAGGAGAUGGCAUUCCUCCUGUUACAAACUGCCACUGUGGCUAAUGAUGCCUACGUUACC